rnacentral:rRNA from 1 species
AGUAGGGUGUUGAAGGUACUGUAUGAAUAAGCACCGGCUAACUCCGUGCCAGCAGCCGCGGUAAUACGGAGGGUGCAAGCGUUAUCCGGAUUUAUUGGGUUUAAAGGGUCCGCAGGCGGGUCUGUAAGUCAGGGGUGAAAUCCGGCAGCUUAACUGUCGAACUGCCUUUGAUACUGCAGGUCUUGAGUGGGAAUGAAGCAGCUGGAAUGUGUGGUGUAGCGGUGAAAUGCUUAGAUAUCACGAGGAACUCCGAUUGCGCAGGCAGCUUACUAAACUACAACUGACGCUCAUGCACGAAGGCGUGGGGAUCAAACAGGAUUAGAUACCCUGGUAGUCCACGCAGUAAACGAUGAUUACUGGUUGUUUGCGAUACAAUGCAAGCGACUGAGCGAAAGCGUUAAGUAAUCCACCUGGGGAGUACGUUCGCAAGAAUGAAACUCAAAGGAAUUGACGGGGGCCCGCACAAGCGGAGGAACAUGUGGUUUAAUUCGAUGAUACGCGAGGAACCUUACCCGGGCUUGAAAUGCAUCCGACCGGCGCCGAGAAGCGCCUUCCCUUCGGGGCGGAUGCGUAGGUGCUGCAUGGUUGUCGUCAGCUCGUGCCGUGAGGUGUCGGCUUAAGUGCCAUAACGAGCGCAACCCUCAUCAUUAGUUACUAACAGGUCACGCUGAGGACUCUAAUGAGACUGCCAUCGUAAGAUGCGAGGAAGGUGGGGAUGACGUCAAAUCAGCACGGCCCUUACGUCCGGGGCGACACACGUGUUACAAUGGGUGGUACAAAGGGCAGCUACAUGGCGACAUGAUGCCAAUCUCCAAAACCACUCUCAGUUCGGAUCGGAGUCUGCAACUCGACUCCGUGAAGCUGGAUUCGCUAGUAAUCGCGCAUCAGCCACGGCGCGGUGAAUACGUUCCCGGGCCUUGUACACACCGCCCGUCAAGCCAUGGAAGCCGGGGGUACCUGAAGUCCGUAACCGUCAAGGAGCGGCCUAGGGUAAAACUGGUAACUGGGGCUAAGUCGUAACAAGGUAGCCGUAAGCUUGGAAAGUCGUAUACAAUCACGACGAAC